AGGGAGAAGCCCAGCGCAUAACCUCUCGGGCCACCCGGCCUGCAGCGGAAUUUUGCGUAAAGGGAACGAUCAUGCAUUCGUGCUCACGCACGGGUGUCUGCCCAAUGGCACAUAGCACUCGACCUAAGUCCAGGGGUGAAACUCUGCCGAGUAACCAGUUUGCUCUACUUCUCCAUGGAGGGUGAAAGACCCGUGUGGCGAGUGCAUAGUGUCUGGGUUUGAUUGUUUUCCCUGAGAGUCGCGUUGCUUGAGCAUGCAGCGCAAAGCAGGACGUAGACUCGUCCUAAGGCUAAAUAUUUCCACAGAACCGAUAGCGAACAAGUACCGUGAGGGAAAGUUGAAAAGGACUCUGAAGAGAGAGUUAAAAGACCGUGAAACCGUACAGGGCAGAGACUGAUGGAUUUGGCUUUCCGGUGGCAAUGAGAGGGAUGCUUGAUGCACCUGUGGUGCCGUCCCUCUCUGUGUGAGGUUGGCUUAUAUGGAAGACAGUGGAAGUGGUCAGUGAGACGAAAGUUUUAUCUUGGCUUGUGACGGUAGUAACACACUAAUGAUGCCAAACGCACGGGGUUUAGGUGUCGGAUGAUGGGUAUGUUAGCUUGCAUGAUUCGCUCUGCAUUCUUAAAUACCUUGAGGCAGUCUUGAGUGCGCAUCCACUUAGAGAUCCACUUACCGUAGCCACCGGAAUGCACCAACGCUUUACGAGGUCAGGGUGCCACGGCUCUCCGAGUCGUGUUGUCUGAGAGUUUCAUGUCUCGUUCUGUAAGGCAGUGAGGUCAUUUUCAUUGUGA
rnacentral:rRNA from 1 species